GACGAACGCUGGCGGCGUGCUUAACACAUGCAAGUCGAACGGUGAAGCGAGUGCUUGCACUCGUGGAUCAGUGGCGAACGGGUGAGUAACACGUGAGUAACCUGCCCAUCACUCUGGGAUAAGCACUGGAAACGGUGUCUAAUACUGGAUACGACCAACCCUUGCAUGGGGUGUUGGUGGAAAGAUUUAUCGGUGAUGGAUGGACUCGCGGCCUAUCAGCUUGUUGGCGGGGUAAUGGCCCACCAAGGCGACGACGGGUAGCCGGCCUGAGAGGGUGACCGGCCACACUGGGACUGAGACACGGCCCAGACUCCUACGGGAGGCAGCAGUGGGGAAUAUUGCACAAUGGGCGAAAGCCUGAUGCAGCGACGCCGCGUGAGGGAUGACGGCCUUCGGGUUGUAAACCUCUUUCAGCAGAGAAGAAGCGAAAGUGACGGUACCUGCAGAAGAAGCACCGGCUAACUACGUG
rnacentral:rRNA from 1 species